rnacentral:tRNA from 1 species
GGGGCGGUAGCUCAGCUGGGAGAGCACCUGGUUUGCAACCAGGGGGUCGCCGGUUCGAUCCCGGUCCGCUCCA